rnacentral:rRNA from 1 species
CACCUCUGAGCAGUUGUGGUAAUCUUCCACAAUGGACGAAAGUCUGACGGAGCAACGCCGCGUGAGUGAUGAAGGCUUUCGGGUCGUAAAACUCUGUUGUUAGGGAAGAACAAGUGCUAGUUGAAUAAGCUGGCACCUUGACGGUACCUAACCAGAAAGCCACGGCUAACUACGUGCCAGCAGCCGCGGUAAUACGUAGGUGGCAAGCGUUAUCCGGAAUUAUUGGGCGUAAAGCGCGCGCAGGUGGUUUCUUAAGUCUGAUGUGAAAGCCCACGGCUCAACCGUGGAGGGUCAUUGGAAACUGGGAGACUUGAGUGCAGAAGAGGAAAGUGGAAUUCCAUGUGUAGCGGUGAAAU